rnacentral:lncRNA from 1 species
CAGGAGGCUGUCAGGCAAGGGAUCAAAGCCGCCUCUACCCUGAUGGUUCCAGAACAGCACUGGCUCUGCUAGGAUCUCUGCAAACAGAAAGGAGGCUCAUUGCCCAACUCAGAUUCAAUCCCAAGCAAAUGUUUCUGCUCAGCAGACCUAAAUCGUAUCCAAAAAACCUAACUGCAAGGGAGCCCUAGGAGAUGUGAUUUUUAACAUCCCAGCCUCUGCUCUAGCUGGUGAAGAAGGCAACCCACGGUGUUGGCGCACUUCCCUUGAGGAUUCCUAAGUACCAUCAAGGACCGGUCUGGAAAAUGGUGCAAUGCCAGCAACCUGAGCCAAAGGGCUGGAUUGACAAACGUUUACAUCCAUUUGGGCCAUACUCCUCAAGCUGAUAUCCCAGCUCACCAAAUCCAGAACUGUUUCUGCAGGAACCUAGAAAUACUGGACCUUCUCUCUCCUCCUGAUUCUACCCUUAGAACUUACAAACACGCCAGAGUUUAUUGUGCUAACUUGUAACUAUGUUAAAGCAACCUUGCGAAUCUUACUCACUAUCUGAUUCAGAUACCUAUGUUAUAAUUGAGUCUCUUCACUGGCAGUGAUGACUUAAAAAAAAACCCAGGCCCUUAGGAUUUCAGAAGCUAUGACUAAAAUAAGACAAUAUUGUGUUUUCAUAACUGCCCUACCUUUUUUAAAAAAAAUAAGGAGGGACACUUUCAUGCUCAAUUUCAUUCUUUUAUGAUGUAAUAGUAAUUGAUGCUCAGGAAAAAAACGAUCUACUCUAAAUGUUCUGCAUCAUUAAAGGCUAAAUUUUGUUUUAUUUUCUACGGUUGAAUUAUUAAGUGGGCAUUUUGAUACAUUAUAAUUUGCAAAUUGGCCAUCUAUACGCGUGUUAACUCUUCUCUUCUUAGGAGGCCCUCCUCAUCAGGACAUCCGCAAACAUACACAAUUCUUUUUAGUGUUUCAAGACUCAGACUAUAAUUUCAGCUCCUGUCUUGCUUCUGUUCAUCUGCUGCAAAAAUUAUGGAUUUGAGUAUAACAGACUGGCCGUCAACUCACACCCCCCCACCACUUACUGGCUUGAUGAGCCUGGCAAGUCACUUCUUUGACUUCUAAGACUCAGCUAUGGUAUCUGUAAGAUGAAGAGGACAUUACCCAUCUCAUAGGAUUCGUUGUAAGAAUCCAAUGAAAUAUUAAAAUAAAGUGUUU